UACGUAGGGGGCAAGCGUUGUCCGGAAUCAUUGGGCGUAAAGCGCGUGUAGGCGGCUCGGUAAGUCUGCUCUGAAAGCCUGGGGCUCAACCCUGGGAGGCGGGUGGAUACUGCUGAGCUCGAGUCCGGAAGAGGCGAGUGGAAUUCCUGGUGUAGCGGUGAAAUGCGCAGAUAUCAGGAGGAACACCGAUGGCGAAGGCAGCUCACUGGGACGGUACUGACGCUGAGGCGCGAAAGCGUGGGGAGCAAACAGG
rnacentral:rRNA from 1 species